CCAGACUCCUACGGGAGGCGGCAGUGGGGAAUAUUGCACAAUGGGGGAAACCCUGAUGCAGCGACGCCGCGUGAAGGAAGAAGUAUUUCGGUAUGUAAACUUCUAUCAGCAGGGAAGAAAAUGACGGUACCUGGCUAAGAAGCCCCGGCUAACUACGUGCCAGCAGCCGCGGUAAUACGUAGGGGGCAAGCGUUAUCCGGAUUUACUGGGUGUAAAGCGCUCGUAGGCGGUAUGUCAAGUCAAGGGUGAAAUCCCCGCGCUCAACGUGGGAACUGCCUUUGAAACUGGCAAACUGGAGUGUGUGAGAGGAUAGUGGAAUUCCAGGUGUAGGAGUGAAAUCCGUAGAUAUCUGGAGGAACAUCAGUGGCGAAGGCGACUAUCUGGCACAUAACUGACGCUGAGGAGCGAAAGCGUGGGUAGCAAACAGGAUUAGAUACCCUUGUAA
rnacentral:rRNA from 1 species